AUUGAACGCUGGCGGCAGGCCUAACACAUGCAAGUCGGGCGAGAGGCGGACGGGUGAGUAAUGUAUGGGGAUCUGCCUGAUGGAGGGGGAUAACUACUGGUAACGGUAGCUAAUACCGCAUACCAUCAGAUGAACCCAUAUGGGAUUAGCUGGUGGGUUAGGUAACGGCUUACCUAGGCGACGAUCCCUAGCUGGUCUGAGAGGAUGACCAGCCACACUGUAACGGAGACACGGCCCAGACUCCUACGGGAGGCAGCAGUGGUGAAUAUUGCACAAUGGGCGCAAGCCUGAUGCAGCCAUGCCGCGUGGAUGAAGAAGGCAUUCGGGUUGUAAAGUACUUUCAGUCGGGAGGCGUUACCGGCAGAAGAAGCACCGGCUAACUCCGUGCCAGCAGCCGCGGUAAUAC
rnacentral:rRNA from 1 species